GAUGAACGCUGGCGGCGUGCCUAAUACAUGCAAGUCGAGCGAAUGGAUUAAGAGCUUGCUCUUAUGAAGUUAGCGGCGGACGGGUGAGUAACACGUGGGUAACCUGCCCAUAAGACUGGGAUAACUCCGGGAAACCGGGGCUAGUACCGGAUAAUAUUUUGAACUGCAUGGUUCAAAAUUGAAAGGCGGCUUCGGCUGUCACUUAUGGAUGGACCCGCGUCGCAUUAGCUAGUUGGGGAGGUAACGGCUCACCAAGGCAACGAUCCGUAGCCGACCUGAGAGGGUGAUCGGCCACACUGGGACUGAGACACGGCCCAGACUCCUACGGGAGGCAGCAGUAGGGAAUCUUCCGCAAUGGACGAAAGUCUGACGGAGCAACGCCGCGUGAGUGAUGAAGGCUUUCGGGUCGUAAAACUCUGUUGUUAGGGAAGAACAAGUGCUAGUUGAAUAAGCUGGCACCUUGACGGUACCUAACCAGAAAGCCACGGCUAACUACGUGCCAGCCGCCGCCGUAA
rnacentral:rRNA from 1 species